rnacentral:rRNA from 1 species
UACGUAGGGUGCGAGCGUUGUCCGGAAUUAUUGGGCGUAAAGGGCUCGUAGGCGGUUUGUCGCGUCGGGAGUGAAAACACCGGGCUUAACUCGGUGCUUGCUUUCGAUACGGGCAGACUAGAGGCAUGCAGGGGAGAACGGAAUUCCUGGUGUAGCGGUGAAAUGCGCAGAUAUCAGGAGGAACACCGGUGGCGAAGGCGGUUCUCUGGGCAUGGCCUGACGCUGAGGAGCGAAAGUGUGGGGAGCGAACAGG